rnacentral:rRNA from 1 species
GACGAACGCUGGCGGCGUGCCUAAUACAUGCAAGUCGAGCGAGUCUGCCUUGAAGAUCGGAGUGCUUGCACUCUGUGAAACAAGAUACAGGCUAGCGGCGGACGGGUGAGUAACACGUGGGUAACCUGCCCAAGAGAUCGGGAUAACACCUGGAAACAGAUGCUAAUACCGGAUAACAACAGAUGAUGCCUAUCAACUGUUUAAAAGAUGGUUCUGCUAUCACUCUUGGAUGGACCUGCGGUGCAUUAGCUAGUUGGUAGGGUAACGGCCUACCAAGGCGAGUAUUGAUAGGCGGGGUGUGGGGCUGAUCGGCCCCACUGGGGCUUAGACACGGUCCCAACUCCUACGGGGGGCAGCAGUAGGGAAUCUUCCACAAUGGACGCAAGUCUGAUGGAGCAACGCCGCGUGAGUGAAGAAGGGGUUCGGCUCGUAAAGCUCUGUUGUUGGUGAAGAAGGACAGGGGUAGUAACUGACCUUUGUUUGACGGUAAUCAAUUAGAAAGUCACGGCUAACUACGUG